GAUUAAGCCAUGCAUGUGUAAGUACAAGCCUAUGCAAGGUAAAACCGCGAAUGGCUCAUUAAAACAGCUAUGUUUCAUUGGAUCUGUACCCAAUUACUUGGAUAACUGUGGUAAUUCUAGAGCUAAUACAUGCACACAGAGUCCCUGACCGAGAGGGAAGGGCGCUUUUAUUAGUUUAAAACCGGUCGGCGGAUCUCGGUCCGUAACCUGACUGUGGUGAAUCUGGAUAACUUUGAGCUGAGCGCACAGUCUCCGCACUGGCGCCGCAUCUUUCAAGUGUCUGCCUUAUCAGCUUUCGAUUGUAGGUUAUGCGCCUACAAUGGCUAUAACGGGUAACGGGGAAUCAGGGUUCGAUUCCGGAGAGGGAGCCUGAGAAACGGCUACCACAUCCAAGGAAGGCAGCAGGCACGCAAAUUACCCACUCCCGGCCUGGGGAGGUAGUGACGAAAAAUAACGAUGUGAGACUCAUCCGAGGCCUCACAAUCGGAAUGAGUACACUUUAAAUCCUUAACGAGGAUCUAUUGGAGGGCAAGUCUGGUGCCAGCAGCCGCGGUAAUUCCAGCUCCAAUAGCGUAUAUUAAAGUUGUUGCGGUUAAAAAGCUCGUAGUUGGACUACAGUUCCGGACUGACGGUACACCUCCCGGUGUUUACUGUCACGCUCCGAACAGCCUGGUAUUAACGCCCCGCUGGCUCGCCCGGGGUGCUCUUCAUCGAGUGUCCCGAGUGGCUGGCAAGUUUACUUUGAAAAAAUUAGAGUGCUCAGAGCAGGCUACAUGAAUGGCCUAAUGUCUAUGCAUGGAAUAAUGAAAUAGGACGAUUCAUGGGUGGUGGUGCAUGGCCGUUCUUAGUUGGUGGAGCGAUUUGUCUGGUUAAUUCCGAUAACGAACGAGACUCUGGCCUAUUAACUAGUCGACGGAUCUCCAUUAAUUGGUGUCCAGUUCGCAACUUCUUCUUAGAGGGAUAAGUGGCAAUUCUAGCUGCACGAGAUUGAGCAAUAACAGGUCUGUGAUGCCCUUAGAUGUUCUGGGCCGCACGCGCGCUACACUGAAGGGAUCAGCGUGUUUUCCCCCUCCGAGAGGAGCGGGUAACCCGUUCAAACCCCUUCAUGAUAGGGAUUGGGGCUUGCAAUUGUUUCCCAUGAACGAGGAAUUCCCAGUAAGCGCAAGUCAUCAGCUUGCGUUGAUUACGUCCCUGCCCUUGUACACACCGCCCGUCGCUACUACCGAUUGAAUGAUUUAGGAGGACUUUGGACUGGCGCCCUUGGAUGGCUGACGGAAAGAUGUCCAAACUUGAUCAUUAGAG
rnacentral:rRNA from 1 species